UACGGAAGGGGCAAGCGUUGUUCGGAAUCAUUGGGCGUAAAGGGCGCGCAGGUGGUUCUGUAUGUCUACCGUGAAAGCGUACGGCUCAACCGUAUUUUGUCGGUAGAAACUGCAGGACUUGAGGCUGGGAGGGGCUGGUGGAAUUCCCUGUGUAGCGGUGAAAUGCGUAGAGAUGGGGGAGAACACUCGUGGCGAAGGCGGCCAGCUAGACCAGUUCUGACACUGAGGCGCGAAAGCGUGGGGAGCGAACAGG
rnacentral:rRNA from 1 species